rnacentral:rRNA from 1 species
GAUGAACGCUAGCGGCAGGCUUAACACAUGCAAGUCGAGGGGCAGCAUGACCUAGCAAUAGGUUGGUGGCGACCGGCGCAAGGGUGCGUAACGCGUGAGCAACAUGCCUAUAACAGGGGGAUAACCCGGCGAAAGUCGGACUAAUACCCCAUAGAGAUACGGGAUCGCAUGGUUUUGUAUUAAAAACUCCGGUGGUUAUAGAUUGGCUCGCGUGACAUUAGCUGGUUGGUGAGGUAACGGCUCACCAAGGCGACGAUGUCUAGGGGUUCUGAGAGGAAGAUCCCCCACACUGGAACUGAGACACGGUCCAGACUCCUACGGGAGGCAGCAGUGAGGAAUAUUGGACAAUGGGGGCAACCCUGAUCCAGCCAUGCCGCGUGCAGGAAGACGGUCCUAUGGAUUGUAAACUGCUUUUAUAUGGGAGCAAUAAUACCUACGAGUAGGUAGAUGAGAGUACCAUAAGAAUAAGCAUCGGCUAACUCCGUGCCAGCAGCCGCGGUAAUACGGAGGAUGCGAGCGUUAUCCGGAUUUAUUGGGUUUAAAGGGUGCGUAGGCGGUUUGAUAAGUCAGUGGUGAAAUUUUGCAGCUUAACUGUAAGACUGCCAUUGAUACUGUUGGGCUAGAAAGUAGUUGAAGUGGGCGGAAUGUGUGGUGUAGCGGUGAAAUGCAUAGAUAUCACACAGAACGUCGAUAGCGCAGGCAGCUCACUAAGCUAUAUUUGACGCUGAGGCACGAAAGUGUGGGGAUCAAACAGGAUUAGAUACCCUGGUAGUCCACACUGUAAACGAUGAUAACUAGUUGUUGGCGAUAGAUAGUCAGUGACCAAGCGAAAGCGAUAAGUUAUCCACCUGGGGAGUACGACCGCAAGGUUGAAACUCAAAGGAAUUGACGGGGGCCCGCACAAGCGGAGGAACAUGUGGUUUAAUUCGAUGAUACGCGAGGAACCUUACCCGGGCUCGAACGGUAAUAGGAUAAUCCAGAGAUGGGUUAGUCAGCAAUGACUGUUAUCGAGGUGCUGCAUGGUUGUCGUCAGCUCGUGCCGUGAGGUGUCGGCUUAAGUGCCAUAACGAGCGCAACCCUUGUCGUUAGUUGCCAGCGGGUAAAGCCGGGGACUCUAGCGAGACUGCCAGCGUAAGCUGUGAGGAAGGGGGGGAUGACGUCAAAUCAGCACGGCCCUUACGUCCGGGGCGACACACGUGUUACAAUGGCCGGUACAGAGGGCAGCUACAUAGCAAUAUGAUGCAAAUCUCAAAAACCGGUCUCAGUUCGGAUUGGAGUCUGCAACUCGACUCCAUGAAGUUGGAUUCGCUAGUAAUCGCGCAUCAGCCAUGGCGCGGUGAAUACGUUCCCGGGC